AUUGAACGCUGGCGGCAGGCCUAACACAUGCAAGUCGAGCGAGCGGCGGACGGGUGAGUAAUGUAUGGGGACUGCCUGAUAGAGGGGGAUAACUACCGGAAACGGUGGCUAAUACCGCAUACUAUCGGAUAAUCCAUAUGGGAUUAGCUAGUAGGGGGGGUAAAGGCUCACCAAGGCGACGAUCUCUAGCGGGUCUGAGAGGAUGAUCAGUCACACUGGAACUGAGACACGGCCCAGACUCCGACGGAGGCAGCAGUGGGGAAUAUUGCACAAUGGGCGAAAGCCUGAUGCAGCCAUGCCGCGUGUAUGAAGAAGGCCUUAGGGUUGUAAAGUACUUUAAGCGGGGAGGCGUUACCCACAGAAGAAGCACCGGCUAACUCCGUGCCAGCCGCCGCGGUAAUAC
rnacentral:rRNA from 1 species